CUCCAACAAAGUGACCUACAACAAGCUCUGCAAGGGGGCACCCAAUUACAAGCUCAUCAUGCUGGCCAUGUUCUCUGAGAGGCUGAAGAUCCAAGGCUCUCUGGCCAGGGCUGCAUUACAGGAGCUGCUCAGUAAAGGUCUAAUUAAGCUCAUGUCCAAGCACAGAGCCCAGGUGAUCUACACCCACGGCACACUUGCUGGGGAGGAUGCUUGAGAAGGAUCAGAAGUGAUGCUUAAAUUCUUAUGUAUAUUCAUAAAUAUAAAAUAAUGGAUCUUUUAAAA